rnacentral:rRNA from 1 species
CCAAUAAUGGAGGUGCUGGGGCUGUCGCUGACCUUUGAAAAGGUCGUGCACGCCCGGAGCACUCUCUCAUAUCCAUCUCACCCCUUUGUGCAUUGCCGCGUGGGUCCCCUUUUGGCUUGUUCCGAGGGGGACCUGCGUUUUUACAUAGACACCCUUUGAAUGCAUGUGUAGAACGUCUUACUUUUUGCGAUCACACGCAAUCAAUACAACUUUCAACAACGGAUCUCUUGGCUCUCGCAUCGAUGAAGAACGCAGCGAAAUGCGAUACGUAAUGUGAAUUGCAGAAUUCAGUGAAUCAUCGAAUCUUUGAACGCACCUUGCGCCCCUUGGUAUUCCGAGGGGCACACCCGUUUGAGUGUCGUGAAUACUCUCAACCUUCUUGGUUUCUUUGACCACGAAGGCUUGGACUUUGGAGGUUUUUCUUGCUGGCCUCUUUUGAAGCCAGCUCCUCCUAAAUGAAUGGGUGGGGUCCGCUUUGCUGAUCCUCGACGUGAUAAGCAUUUCUUCUACGUCUUAGUGUCAGCUCGGAACCCGCUUUCCAACCGUCUUUGCACAAAGACAAUGUUCGAGUUGUGACUCGACCUUACAAACCUUGACCUCAAAUCGGGUGAGACUACCCGCUGAACUUAAGCAUACUAAA